rnacentral:rRNA from 1 species
UACGAAGGGUGCAAGCGUUACUCGGAAUUACUGGGCGUAAAGCGUGCGUAGGCGGUUUGUUAAGUCCGUUGUGAAAGUCCAGGGCUCAACCCUGGGAUGCCGGUGGAUACUGUCGGGCUCGAGUCCGGAAGAGGAGUGUGGAAUUCCUGGUGUAGCGGUGAAAUGCGCAGAUAUCAGGAGGAACACCAAUGGCGAAGGCAGCACUCUGGGACGUGACUGACGCUGAGACGCGAAAGCGUGGGGAGCAAACAGG